AGCGAACGCUGGCGGCAGGCUUAACACAUGCAAGUCGAACGGAUCCUUCGGGAUCAGUGGCAGACGGGUGAGUAACACGUGGGAACGUGCCUUUUGGUUCGGAACAACUCAGGGAAACUUGAGCUAAUACCGGAUGUGCCCUUCGGGGAAGAUUAUCGCCAUUAGAGCGGCCCGCGUCUGAUUAGCUAGUUGGUGAGGUAAAGGCUCACCAAGGCUUCGAUCAGUAGCUGGCUGAGAGGAUGAUCAGCCACACUGGGACUGAGACACGGCCCAGACU
rnacentral:rRNA from 1 species